UACAGAGGGUGCGAGCGUUAAUCGGAAUUACUGGGCGUAAAGCGCGCGUAGGCGGCUUUUCAAGUCGGAUGUGAAAUCCCCGGGCUCAACCUGGGAAUUGCGAUGGAGACUGCAAGGCUAGAAUCUGGCAGAGGGGGGUAGAAUUCCACGUGUAGCAGUGAAAUGCGUAGAGAUGUGGAGGAACACCGAUGGCGAAGGCAGCCCCCUGGGUCAAGAUUGACGCUCAUGCACGAAAGCGUGGGGAGCAAACAGG
rnacentral:rRNA from 1 species